rnacentral:rRNA from 1 species
GAUGAACGCUGGCGGCGUGCCUAAUACAUGCAAGUCGAGCGAACGGACGAGAAGCUUGCUUCUCUGAUGUUAGCGGCGGACGGGUGAGUAACACGUGGAUAACCUACCUAUAAGACUGGGAUAACUUCGGGAAACCGUAGCUAAUACCGGAUAAUAUUUUGAACCGCAUGGUUCAAAAGUGAAAGACGGUCUUGCUGUCACUUAUAGAUGGAUCCGCGCUGCAUUAGCUAGUUGGUAAGGUAACGGCUUACCAAGGCAACGAUGCAUAGCCGACCUGAGAGGGUGAUCGGCCACACUGGAACUGAGACACGGUCCAGACUCCUACGGGAGGCAGCAGUAGGGAAUCUUCCGCAAUGGGCGAAAGCCUGACGGAGCAACGCCGCGUGAGUGAUGAAGGUCUUCGGAUCGUAAAACUCUGUUAUUAGGGAAGAACAUAUGUGUAAGUAACUGUGCACAUCUUGACGGUACCUAAUCAGAAAGCCACGGCUAACUACGGG